CCUACGGGCGGCAGCAGUGAGGAAUAUUGGUCAAUGGACGAGAGUCUGAACCAGCCAAGUAGCGUGAAGGAUGACUGCCCUAUGGGUUGUAAACUUCUUUUAUAUGGGAAUAAAAUGUUCCACGUGUGGGAUUUUGUAUGUACCAUAUGAAUAAGGAUCGGCUAACUCCGUGCCAGCAGCCGCGGUAAUACGGAGGAUCCGAGCGUUAUCCGGAUUUAUUGGGUUUAAAGGGAGCGUAGGUGGAUUGUUAAGUCAGUUGUGAAAGUUUGCGGCUCAACCGUAAAAUUGCGGUUGAAACUGGCAGUCUUGAGUACAGUAGAGGUGGGCGGAAUUCGUGGUGUAGCGGUGAAAUGCUUAGAUAUCACGAAGAACUCCGAUUGCGAAGGCAGUUCACUGGACUGCAACUGACACUGAGGCUCGAAAGUGUGGGUAUCAAACAGGAUUAGAUAUCCGUGUAGUC
rnacentral:rRNA from 1 species